CUAUGUGUCCUCUCCCAUUCCUCUUUCCUCCUUUCUCCCUCUCUUCCUUCACCCUCUCCUCCCACUCCCACGAUUUCUGCUUCUUAGCUAACACCUACUCCUCUCUGACAGGGUGCCGGCCAUUCCUCCGAAUUUACCAGGCCAUGCAACCUGUUUACACGUCUGGUAUCUACAACAUCCCGGGAGACAGCCAGACCAGCAUCUGCAUCACCAUUGAGCCAGGACUGCUCCUGAAGGGAGACAUCUUGCUGAAGUGCUACCACAAGAAGUUCCGGAGCCCAGCCCGAGAC